rnacentral:lncRNA from 1 species
UCUCAACUAGUCUAUCUAUCUCCCUCUCUCUAGCUCUCUCUUUAGAAGCUUCUUUUCUCCCCUCAUCUCCGAUGGACCUUGUCCAUCUUCUUCGAUCACGUCCCUUGCCGGAAACCAUAGCCUCUAAUCAUAUCAUGGCAUCUGCUUUACCCCACACCGGUUUGACACUACACUGAGGUGCUCAGGUGAACCUGGAGCGGUUCAACUCCUAUCCAUGGUCGGCCGUUCAAGUAAGAUCUAUGACUUUUCCGGCUAAAAACGGUAAUAUUUUAAGGUUUUCUCAUCUUCUCUGGGUUCUCUGAAACCCUAACUCUUAAGAUUUUCCUAUUUCAUUUAGAUCUUUCUUAGGUCUGUGUAUAUUAUGA